rnacentral:rRNA from 1 species
AAUGGACGCUGGCGGCAGGCCUAAAACAUGCAAGUCGAACGUCCUAGCAAUAGGGAGUGGCGCACGGGUGAGUAACAUGUGGGAAUAUGCCUUUUGGUACGGAACAACAUUUGGAAACGAACGCUAAUACCGUAUGGUCCCUCCGGGGUAAAGAUUUAUCGCCAAAAGAUUAGCCCGCACUAGAUUAGCUAGUUGGUAAGGUAAUGGCUUACCAAGGCGACGAUCUAUAGCUGUUCUGAGAGGAAGAUCAGCCACACUGGGACUGAGACACGGCCCAGACUCCUACGGGAGGCAGCAGUUAGGAAUAUUGGACAAUGGGCGCAAGCCUGAUCCAGCCAUGCCGCGUGAGUGAUGAAGGCCUUCGGGUUGUAAAGCUCUUUAGCCGACGAAUAUAAUGACUGUAGUCGGAGAAUAAGCCCCGGCUAACUUCGUGCCAGCCGCCGCGGUAACAC